rnacentral:rRNA from 1 species
GACGAACGCUGGCGGCGUGCCUAAUACAUGCAAGUCGAACGCAGUGGGGACUGGUGCGUAACACGUGGGUAACCUCCCAUCAGAGGGGAUAAAACUUGGAAACAGGUGCUAAACCGAUACUGGAGGCUGGACCCUCGGUGCAUUAGCUAGUGGGUGAGGGAACGGCUCACCAAGGCCACGAUGCAUAGCCGACCUGAGAGGGUGAUCGGCCACACUGGGACUGAGACACGGCCCAGACUCCUACGGGAGGCAGCAGUAGGGAAUCUUCGGCAAUGGACGAAAGUCUGACCGAGCAACGCCGCGUGAGUGAAGAAGGUUUUCGGAUCGUAAAACUCUGUUGUUAGAGAAGCGGUAUCUAACCAGAAAGCCACGGCUAACUACGUGCCAGCAGCCGCGGUAAUAC